UGGAAACCUGACUUGAAUCUUCAAUUA
rnacentral:piRNA from 1 species